rfam:Harpegnathos saltator strain R22 G/1 HarSal_1.0_2.contig4811, whole genome shotgun sequence.
CUCAAUUGAUGUGACUUAACAACUUGACCAAACAUGGAGGCAAAAACUGAUUUAAUGAGUCUGAUGA